rnacentral:rRNA from 1 species
AGAGUUUGAUCCUGGCUCAGGAUAAACGCUGGCGGUGUACAUAAGACAUGCAAGUCGAACGGGAGAAACUAAGAUGGAUUUAUUCAACUUAGCAGACACCGUGGCGGAUGGGUGAGUAACACGUAAGCAACCUGCCUAAAAGAGGGGAAUAACAGAGAGAAAUUUCUGAUAAUACCGCAUAUACCAAAGUAUCGCAUGGUACAAUUGGGAAAGAUUUAUCACUUUUAGAUGGGCUUGCGUCUGAUUAGCUAGUUGGUGAGAUAAUAGCUCACCAAGGCGACGAUCAGUAGCCGGAUUGAGAGGUUGAACGGCCACAUUGGGACUGAGACACGGCCCAGACUCCUACGGGAGGCAGCAGUCGGGAAUAUUGCACAAUGGAGGAAACUCUGAUGCAGUGACACCGCGUAUAGGAAGAAGGCCUUAGGGUUGUAAGCUAUUGUCGUGUGAGAAGAAAAUGACUAUCACAGGAGGAAGCCCUGGCUAAAUAUGUGCCAGCAGCCGCGGUAAUACAUAUGGGGCGAGCGUUAUCCGGAUUUAUUGGGUGUAAAGGGUUCGUAGGCGGGAAAGUAAGUCAGUAUGUGAAAUCCCUCGGCUCAACCGAGGAACUGCGAUUGAAACUAUUUUUCUUGAGUACUGGAGGGGAAAGUGGAAUUCUUAGUGUAGCGGUGAAAUGCGUAGAUAUUAGGAAGAACACCAGUGGCGAAGGCGACUUUCUGGACAGUAACUGACGCUGAGGAACGAAAGUGUGGGGAGCAAACAGGAUUAGAUACCCUGGUAGUCCACACUGUAAACGAUGGAUACUAGGGGUUGGCAUAGGAAAUGUCGGUCCCGCAGUUAACGCAUUAAGUAUCCCACCUGGGGAGUACGACCGCAAGGUUAAAACUCAAAGGAAUUGACGGGGGCCCGCACAAGCAGUGGGGUAUGUGGUUUAAUUCGACGCAACGCGAAGAACCUUACCAGGGCUUGACAUGAUUAGGAAUAUAUAAGAGAUUAUAUAGCUCUACGGAGUCUAAUUACAGGUGGUGCAUGGUUGUCGUCAGCUCGUGUCGUGAGAUGUUGGGUUAAGUCCCUAAACGAGCGCAACCCUUAUCGCUAGUUGCUAACAUUAAGUUGAGGACUCUAGUGAGACUGCCGUUUAUUAAAACGGAGGAAGGAGAGGAUGACGUCAAAUCAUCAUGCCCUUUAUGUCCUGGGCUACACACGUACUACAAUGGGUAGGACAAAGGGAAGCAACGGAGUGAUCCUGAGCAAAACCCAAAACCUAUUCACAGUUCGGAUUGAAGGCUGAAAUUCGCCUUCAUGAAGCCGGAAUUGCUAGUAAUGGCAGGUCAGCAUACUGCCGUGAAUACGUUCCCGGGCCUUGUACA